GAAGAACCUGCAGCCCAGACUCCCAGUAGCUGGCCAUGGGCGGCGGCGGAGGGGCACGGUUGAAUUUAGGCCUCUUUGCCCCUAGCUGGAACCCGGUGCACUUCCGCCAGAGCGCCUGAGCUCGCCCUUAACUUGCCCAGUGCUACCGCGGCCCCCCGGCAAGGCGCAGCUGGGUGCUAAGGGAGGUCUAAGCAGCGCGACUGCUGGUUCUCUGGUUUGUGCUGGCGAGGCGGCGGCCAGUGGUGCUCCGCGGCAGUGGCACUCCCUCCAAAGCCUCCUCUGUACCUGCGGCGUCGCCACUCGUCAGUGGGUCCAGCCAGCUCCAGGCUAGGAGGGACAGGGACCCUCCAGCCAGCCUGCCGCCCCCUGCCCUGACCGUGGCCGAAGGAGCACAGCCUAAUUGCGGACCCACCCACUUGCUGAUCCAGUUGCUCUACUCGCUGCUUGCAAGGUAACUCCCGCUGUAGGCUCCCUGCGGAAAUAGAGCCUUGUGCCUGCAUUUCCACCGUCAAAUUUUGCCACCAGCUUGGGUAAAGUGGCAGAGACAAGAGCUGCUUAGGGAGCCUUCAGGGACCACUGGGACAUGCCAGGAAAGGGAGUUGAGCAGGGGCUUGUUGAAACUCAAGGCGCAACAGUCAGUUCCCAUGGAUCAGUAAUUGAGCUUACAGAUUUAGGGAUAUAGUAUAGGGUAAUUGCACUUGUGUAAGCCCAACUCUCCAGGCAGAGACUGAGUGACAGCCUCUGGUGACAAAUGUCAAGAUAUUGUGGAAAUAAGGCCAACCUUAAGCACCCUAUUUGCAGGAAGAUGCAAUCUGAGUGGAUGGAGGGUAGUCUUGCAGUGAGUCAUGAUGAGGAAAGGGAAGCAGGGCAGGGGUGCUCUCUUCAAAUGCCUUCAAAGCUGUCAUGUGGGAAAGGAUUGUCUGGUAUGGCCUGGGAAAGGAGAACCCAGGAUGGGUCAUAGUUCAACAGGGUGAAAACCAGCAGGAGGCAGAAUUAAGUUUCUGUAAGGAAGGCAUUUCUACUAAGGAAGGAGAAGUACUUUUACUAUAUAUGGGUCAUUUUACUAAACAUUUUACUUAAAUUAUCCCACUUAACACUUAGCAAGGCUUAGAUAUGUUCAUGCCAGAGGUAGUUGGGUCUCUGUGCUCAUCUAGGCUACAGCUCUUUCUGGUCCCAGGUUAAAAUGAGGUCGGUGACAAUUACCUAUUCAUUUGGUGGAGUUGAAAAAGGCUUGUACAGAAAUUGGGAGAUCCUUUCACCCACUUAUGUUAUGACUUAGGGAAGCUUGGUAUCUCUCUGGACUUCCGUCCGUAAAGUCAGGGAGUUAGACUUCACUGGUUUACCUAAAAAAAAAUCCCUUUGACCAGUUAAAAUAAAAAUAAAAACAAAUUAACUAGGCUUUAGUUUCUUGCACACUUGUAUCUAUAGGAGUUGGAGAAUUGGAGCUCUAUAACAUCCUGAAGAUGGGCCCCUACGGGGGAACUAAAAUGCCUCUCCCUUCUUUCAUUGACUGAGGUGUGACUCUAAUGGUUUUUGUUUUGUAUAAUGAUUUUUUUUUUCAAUAUAGCUGGUUUACAGUGUUCCAUCAAUUUUCUACUGUACAGCAUGGAGGGGGAGGGAGUGGAAUGACUCUAAUAUUCUAUUCAGCUAAGAUAGGCAUUCAAGGGCUGCCGUAUUUCCGCCCAGGUCUCUGAAGAGUAAAAAUUUGGGCCCCCUUUGCUUGGAUUUUCCUACAUCAGCUGUAUUGCUUUCUAGUCACUGCCAAGGCAACUGCUCUGGUCUGUUAUGCAGAAGUACAGAGCAUCUGCUGGUAUGGUGCAUUGUGCUAAGCAACUGGAGAUGAGUGCAGAGAAAACUGGAUAAAAUAGGCUCCUGACCUUAGGGAGCUUCAAAUCUGUUGUGGGAAAGGUGGAUACAAGGACCAUAGACCACAUUACAAGGCAGAAAGGUGCUCUGGGAGGCAGGUACAGAAAAGGCAGAAGCCAUGUGGAGCCAUAAAAAAUACACUAGAUUAAAAAUUGGGGGGCCCUAGGUUCUAAUCUUGGCAGGUCACCUAGGGAAUGUCAGCCCACCUCCUGAGGCCUGCAGUUUUGAGGCCUUCUGAUAUUAGAUGAGAAUUUAUAGUUUGGGUGGGUCCUCAAGAUGCGUUUGUGGUAGGCCUUGCAGUGCUCUCUGGGUGGGGGUUACAUUACAAGAGGAAGACAGCAAAGGCUGGGACAGAGUUUUCCUGGGCACAUGGAAAACAUGUAUUUCUUCAUGAAAGCAAAGAGAUUCUGCAUAUGCAGGGGGCAGCUAAUGGCUAGUGUGACUGCUGGGCCAUAAAAGAGAAAUAGAAAUUGAGGUUGCAAAGGAAAUCUUGAGCACUAGACCCUGGCAUUUUGGACUUACUCCUUGAAAGGCAAUAGCAGCCGUGCCUGGUUUUUGAGAUGGGCAGUGCCAGUGAGUAAAUAACUGUGACACUAAGUAGAGCCUCCUGUAACUAUGUCUUGCCCAAUUUUUAUUCUACUCAAACAUUUGAGAAGCGGCAGUACCUCCCUCUUGGGGAACUUGAGCAAAUGGCCUGUGACAGUUCUUCCUAAUGGCAGCGCAGAAGAAACACUGCAUGGAUGGAGUGGCCCAUCCUUGAGAUAGCUGCCAACAAACUGUGCAUGGGUCUGGCCCUUUGCUAGAAGUCGGGGGUGGCCAGCCUUGUUGGAUGCUGAGGGAUGGUGGAGGAGAUCAUUAGUGGAUUGAGUGGAAUCCUCACUGACUGAUUGAGGCUGAUGGAUAGAUAGCACAGGAAGGGCAGGGGGAGGCAGAGUCUUCCAGAUCAUGUGACUUGACUUAAUGGCAUGCUCCAUUCAGAAAAAGAGUUUUGAGAUUACCAAUGCGAUCAAGAGUGGAUUGUAGGUUUCUGAGGUGGAGCUGCUGAUAUUGAGGAAGGCUAGCCAAUCCUGCUGUAGAGAUGGAAAGAACUUUGACCUGGGAGUCAGAAGACUAUAGUUUUAUCAAGUUCCUUUUUCUCUCUGAGCCUCAAUUUUUCCACUGGUAUUAUGAGAGUAGGGGAGGUUGGCCUCAAUGAUUCUUUAGGUCCUUUCCAGCUCUAAAUAUCUAGGAAAGAUAGAUAAUUUGGAUCCUCCAUGGAUGAAUUCAGAGGGUUUGUCCAGAAUUAAAGUAAUAAGGCUGGGAAAUAUUUUGAACUGAGGGCUUGCAAAAAAAUAUUAGUAUUAAAGAGUGGGACUCCCUGUCCAUGGUAGCUAAAGGUCAGAAGGAGUGUCACUGAGCUGAAUUUGCUGGAUAUUUCUUUUCUCACAUCCCUUUUUAUAUUCCUUUUCUUUCCAUCCUCUACCAAAACUUCUUUCUAAGAUUUCCAGUGACCAUUAUUCUGCUUUUAACAUCUAGCACAUUGGGCCUUUUUUUCUUUUCCUAUCUACAGAGGGCAUUUUCUGGUCUCUUUGCUUUGUGUUUACCCAGUGAAAGAGGAUCUUUGUUUCCUCUUUCCUAGCAUCCAGCAUACACUUAACUAAUAAGUCUCUAUAAACAAUGUUAAUAAUGUCUUUAAUUGUAUUUUAAAACAUAAGAGUAAUAUUGCAACUUACUUUGAAAUGCAUCAGAAAAUAAGGUGGAUAGAUAGAUUGAUGAAUAGAUAAAUAAAUGAUAAGUCAUAAAUGGAUGAUAAAUAAAUGAAUAGAUGAAUGAAUAGCAAACAGGUAAAUAAAAUAUGGGGGUAAUAAAUAAUAUUCAGUGAUACUAUAAACUUCAAACUAUAUCGAAGUACACAACUAAAAAGGGAACACUCCCUUCAUCCUUCUCUCCAUUCUAAAUUCCUCUCCCCAGAGGUAAACACAGUUCACAGAUUUCUGUGUAUUUUUCUCAUCCUUUUUUCUAUGUGUGUCCAAAAAUAUAUAUACAUGCAUAUCCAACUAUUAGUUUUGCUUUUAAAUUUAAAUAGAUUACAUUUUACAGUUGAGUCUGAAAUUUGCAUUUUCAGCUGACAAUAUAUUUUGGAAAUCUCUUCAUGUCAGUAUUUAGAACUACCUCAUUAAAAAAAAACACAGCUGCAUAGUAUUUCAUACUAUGAGUACACUAUAAUGUAUUUAAACUCCCCCUCUUGAUGGAUAGCUAAGUGAUUUUCACUUCUUCCCUAUGACACACAGGGCUGCAGGAUACCUCCUUGAUUAGUUAUUGCCUAUAUGCAUGUGAGCAUCUAUUUCUGUAAGGUAGAUUCCUAGGAAUGGAAUUAUUGUGCCCAAAGAGUUAUGCUUUAAAAUUCUGCUCCUCCUUCACAACAUUUCAUUAUGGACAUUUUCAAACAUACAGAAAACUUGAAAGAAUUAUAUAGUGAACACUCAUAUAUCUAACUUCUAAAUUCUACCAUUAAGAUUUAACUAUAUU
ensembl:lncRNA